CAGCGCCACGAGUGGUAACCACGUUUAUUGGGCCUAAAGCGUCCGUAGCCGGUUUAGUAAAUCUUUUGUGAAAUUGUGCGGCUCAACCGUACAACGUGCAAGAGACACUGCUGAACUUGAGACCGGGAGGAGUCAGAAGUAUUCCAGGGGGAGCGGUAAAAUGUUAUAAUCCCUGGAGGACUACCUGUGGCGAAGGCGUCUGACCAGAACGGAUCUGACGGUGAGGGACGAAAGCCAGGGGAGCGAACCGGAUUAGAUACCCGAGUAGUCC
rnacentral:rRNA from 1 species